UACGUAGGGUGCAAGCGUUGUCCGGAAUUAUUGGGCGUAAAGAGCUCGUAGGCGGUUUGUCGCGUCUGCUGUGAAAUCCCGAGGCUCAACCUCGGGCCUGCAGUGGGUACGGGCAGACUAGAGUGCGGUAGGGGAGAUUGGAAUUCCUGGUGUAGCGGUGGAAUGCGCAGAUAUCAGGAGGAACACCAAUGGCGAAGGCGGCCUUCUGGGCUAUCCUGACGCUGAGGAGCGAAAGCGUGGGGAGCAAACAGG
rnacentral:rRNA from 1 species